UAUUACCCUGAAAAAUAUAAACAGGUGACCAUGGUGUCACGUGAUCAGGAAGUGAUGUCAGAAGAUGGUGUCACGUGAUCAGGAAGUGAUGUCAGAAAAUGCUGUCACGUGAUCAGGAAGUGAUGUCAGAAGAUGAUGUCACGUGAUUAGGAAGAGGUCUCACCGGGAUGUAGCUGGCAUUGAUAUAAUCUGAGCAGGGGUCGUCAUCUAUGUAGGACAACUUCACUCUUGUCGAGUCAUCUGCACACAGAAUCCACACAUAAGUGAGACACUCCCCCCAAUCCCAUCCCGUCCCCUUUGUGGGCGGAGCUGCAGAUACACACAGGUCAAGAUGUUGUUGUAUCGGUUCUUCCCGCGGUUCUCUGGCAGCAGCGCAGAGUCCAUAGGCUGAUUACGACCGACGUCCUUCAGGUCCUGGUGGAGAAGAGGCCACAGAACAGAGUCAGGAGAGAGCACUCACUCAGUUUCCCAGGAGUCAUUGCAAUGAUCAGAGCGAUGACUCCCACCAUCAUGGCGAUGAGGAACAGACCAGCACUGACGCCCUCGAUCACACCAUUCAGAGGCUCUGCAGUGCAUACACACAGUUACACAGUUGUGUGUGUGUGUGUGUGUGUGUGUGUAAAAAGAAGUGAUGAUGACGAAGGUCCUUCCUCACCAGCUUCAGUGAUGACAGGAAGUGACAGGCCCAUUGGGACACUUCUUGGAGGAACUAGAUGUCCUCCUUUCAAACAUCCCAGAAAAUGGCCACCUUGACCUCAUCUUCACCAGAAACUGCUCCACCUUCGACCUCAAGCUCCGAAACACAUGUAGCAGAAUGGAUCUCUGCUUGUCUGACCAAAAUCUCUCAGUGGAUGUCUGACCAUCACCUGAAACUCAAUCUCGACAAGACCGAAUGUGGGUGUGACACUUGAUGACCAUCUCUCCCUCACUGCCAACAUUGCUGCAACAGCUCAAUCUUGCAGAUACAUGUUACACAACAUCAGAAGGACCUGUGCCGCCUUCUAACCCAGAAGGCGGCACAGGUUCUGGUCCAGGCUCUUGUCAUUUCACGCUUGGACUACUGCAACUCCCUCCUGGCUGGUCUCCCUGUGUGUGCCAUACGACCUCUGCAACUCAUCCAGAAUGCAGCAGCUCGACUGGUCUUCAACUUACCAAAAUUCCCCCACACUACACCGCUCCUCCGCUCCCUUUACUGGCUUCCUGUAGCUGCUCGCAUCCGCUUCAAGACUCUAGUGCUUGCAUUCCAUGCUACAAACGGAUCCGGUCCAGCCUACAUCCAGGACAUGAUCAAAACCUACACCCCAGCCCGCCCACUCCGCUCUGCAUCGGAUCGCAGAGGCAUUCGCAGAACUCGAGACUGUUCACUCUCCUAGCUCCCAAAUGGUGGAAUGAACUCCCCAUCGACAUCCAGACAGCGGAAAACCUUCACAUCUUCCGCCGCCGACUAAAAACACAUUUCUUCCGACUCAACCUCGACUAAGGCGACGACAAAACAUUUGGGUUGUUUUUACCCAAAUGUUUAAAUGCACUUAUACACGUAAGUCGCUUUGGAUAAAAUCGUCUGCUAAAUGACAUGUAAUGUAAUGUAAUGUAAUAAUCACAGUCUUCAUGUGAUCACAUGUUCACAGUCUUCAUGUGUUCACAUGUUUACAUUUUUCAUGUGUUCACAGUCUUCACAUAUUGACAGUCUUCAUGUGUUCACAGUAUUCAUGUGUUCACAGUCUUUAUGUGUUCAC